rnacentral:misc_RNA from 1 species
AUACCUCAACCCUCAUGGCUUGCCAUGAUGGGCUUGGACUUUGGGGGUCUUGUUGGCCUGUGAGCCAGCUCCCCUUAAAUGAAUUAGCUUACCGGUGUUUGGUGGCGUCACAGGUGUGAUAACUAUCUACGCUUGUGGUUUCCCACCAGGUAACCUUCAGCAAUGGAGGUUCGCUGGAGCUCAUAAACGUCUCUCCCCAGUGAGGACAGAUUUUGACC